NGAGAACCCGAUGUGGGGUUCGAUCCCAGGACCCUGGGAUCAUGACCUGAGCUGAAGGCAGAGGCUUAACCCACUGAGCCACCCAGGCGCCCCAUCCUUGGAACAUUCUUGAAUACGCUUUGGUUUUUUUUCAUUCUCAUUUUGUCUAUCAUUGUCAUUUUGGUGUCGGCACCAAAAUGUGCCUUUGAGCAACCACCCUAGUAUUCUCAGCCUGUGUUCAGGUGGCAUCGACCUCACUUUGUGAUUCCAUGGGUGGGCACAUCUCCAAAUCCUGGCCUUUGAGAGUGCAGCAUCUCCCCAAAUUUAGUGAUUGUUUCAAGGGUGAAUACAUGAUCAGCUGAGCCGAUCAAAGCCAAUAAAUGGCAGCAUUGCUGGGCCCAGAGAAGAAGAGAUACUUAUUUUUUAGUGAGAGUUUCUAAUGUUACAGAUAAAGAACUGGACCUGUUGGUGGCUUGUCCAAACAACACUUAAGAAUCGACCUUAGAGUGAAAGCAACAUAGGUAAAAUCAGAAGCCACAGACAGGCAGGAUUUGGGGACCUGGAUCCGGCUAUGUCUGAAGUCAGUCUCGGACUAUUGAGUCACAUGAGUCAGUCAUUUUCACUUUUUUCCCCAUCAUUGCCCAUUAAAUGAAUAAAGUAGUGACCAGAAGGAGAGUUAACUUCAUACCAGGAUCAAAACCACCAGAGCUCAAGGGUAAAAUGGCCUGUUUGAAACGCAUGCCCUCGGAAUGUUCGUGCAUUUUGAAGAAGGAGCACAAGUAGCUGUGACCUACAGCCACAUCUUUAUUCCUCCUCCAGAUUCGUGCAGAAGCGGCUCACUCUCCAGUUCCCAUGGACCUUAACACAACCUCCUUUGAAGGAUGAAUGUAGCGCGGACUAUGGGGAGAAUCUGCUGCCCAAGGAAGGCAAUGGCUUGGGGCCACAAGAAGUGCAGUGUCCAGAGCCUGGGCCCCAGGAGGCAAGAGCUACAGGUGUCAAAGACAGAUGCCAAGGGGACCCGGUUCUGUGGCAGCCAGUGGUGAGCUCUGAGAGGUGCAGGACAGCAGCCACACAUCAGCUCUCCGUGCUCUCUCCCCUUUGCUCAUCCCUCCUUUUUCUGGGAAAUCCUUAACAAACUGAGCCCAGAAUAGACAAAGGGGAGUGGCUGUGGGUCCUGUCACUUUGCCUGCUGUUGGCCUUUGGUCUGGGUACUCACACCCCCAGGCCCAGCUGCAUCUACUCCCAACAGGUACACUGUGUCAGCUCCAAUGACCCGUGAAGGUCAUCAUGAUUAAACAACCAGAAGAUGUAAAUGAUGACACUUCUCCCAGGAGGAAAUCACCUCUAAAUGACAAAUAUGGCUGCCAUUGAGGGCGUAAAAAAAGAAAUUUUGUACAAUGAUGCUCAUCACACUUAAAACAGCAAAAUUUGCAGACUUAUUUUCCAACAAGAGGAAAACUGUUGAAUAACUAAUGGUAUAAUAUUUAUGUAUUAUAAAUAUUUAACCAAAUAGGUUGGGUGGAAAAAUUUUAAUGACAUGGGGCAAUGUUCAUGAAGUUAAAUUUUUUUUAAGGCAGAGUACAGAACAAGGUAAACAGGACAACCUCAAAUUGUUAAAAAGCAAAAUGAAGGGGCACCUGGAUAACUCAGUGGGUUAAAGCCUCUGCCUUCAGCUCAGGUCAUAAUCCCAGGGUUUGGGGAUUGAGCACACACCCCCCACCCCUCCCCCUCUGCUCUGCAGGGAGCCUGCUUUCUCCUCUCUUUCUGCCUGUCUCUCUGCCUACUUGUGAAAUCUGUCUGUCAAAUAAAAAAAUUAAAAAAAGAAGAAGCAGAAAAACAGGUACUUCAAAAUGCUAAGAGAAUUUCUCUUUGGUUGGAUGUUAUUUUUCUUUUUU
rnacentral:lncRNA from 1 species